rnacentral:misc_RNA from 1 species
GAAACCCUCGUUGUGUUCAUGCUCUGACCGAUCUCCGCAAAUCCGAUCCACUUUGAUCUUUCGUUAUGGAGCGCGUAAUCGGCGGCAAGUACAAGCUUGGCCGCAAGAUCGGCAGCGGAUCGUUCGGCGAAAUCUAUCUCGCUACUCAUAUUGAGACGUUCGAAAUCGUCGCUGUGAAAAUCGAAAACAAUAAAACAAAGCAUCCGCAACUGCUUUAUGAGGCCAAAUUGUAUAAUAUUCUUCAAGGAGGAAGCGGUAUUCCUGCUACGAAAUGGUCUGGUAUAGACGGGGAAGAGAAUGUGCUUGUACUUGAUUUGCUUGGACCAAGUC